rfam:Picea glauca, whole genome shotgun sequence.
CUUUGUUUAGAUGCAAAGUACCAGUGGCUAGACUAUCAGAUCUCGUGUACCUUGACUAGAACUUCACAGUGAUAACCAUAUUAAAAUAUAUUGGAUAGGUGGGAGGUAGUGACACACAAUGUCUAACCAAUCCUGAAAUACCACUCUUUCAUUUUAAGAUGUCUAACUACCUGAACUCAUAUGAUAUGGGUGGGACACUACUAGGUGGCUAAUUUCCCUAUGGCGGAUAUCUCUUAAAGAGUAACAUAGGUGUGAACAUAGGUGUGCAAAGGUAGGCUCAAGCAAAUAUAUUUCUUGUGAGAUACAUGGUAUAAGCCUACUUGAUUGUUGGAUUGAAUGGUCAAACAAACAUGAAAUUCAGCCAUAGUGAUCUGAGAGUCCCAUGUGGAAGGGCUCUUACUCAACAUAUCAAAGGUAUGUUAGGGAUAGCCUGAUAUUUUUAUUGU